GGAACCCACUAUCUUUAGUCGGAUAGUAUCCUUACGUGAAUACAUAGCGUGAGGAAGGCAGACCCAGGGAACUGAAACAUCUAAGUACCUGGAGGAAGAGAAAGAAAAAUCGAUUUCCUGAGUAGCGGCGAGCGAAACGGAAAGAGCCCAAACCAAGAAGCUUGCUUCUUGGGGUUGUAGGACACUCUAUACGGAGUUACAAAAGAAAGUUAUAAAUGAAGCGGUCUGGAAAGGCCCGCCAAAGACGGUAACAGCCCGGUAGUUGAAAUGGCUUUCCCUCCAGAGUGGAUCCUGAGUACGGCGGAACACGUGAAAUUCCGUCGGAAUCCGGGAGGACCAUCUCCCAAGGCUAAAUACUCCCUAGUGACCGAUAGUGAACCAGUACCGUGAGGGAAAGGUGAAAAGCACCCCGGAAGGGGAGUGAAACAGUUCCUGAAACCGUGUGCCUACAAGUAGUUAGAGCCCGUUAAUGGGUGAUAGCGUGCCUUUUGUAGAAUGAACCGGCGAGUUACGAUUUGUUGCAAGGUUAAGCGGAAAAAGCGGAGCCGUAGCGAAAGCGAGUCUGAAUAGGGCGCAUAAGUAACAGGUCGUAGACCCGAAACCAGGUGAUCUACCCAUGUCCAGGAUGAAGGUAAGGUAAUACUUACUGGAGGUCCGAACCCACGCACGUUGAAAAGUGCGGGGAUGAGGUGUGGGUAGCGGAGAAAUUCCAAUCGAACUUGGAGAUAGCUGGUUCUCUCCGAAAUAGCUUUAGGGCUAGCCUCGAGGUAAAGAGUCAUGGAGGUAGAGCACUGUUUGGACUAGGGGCCCUUCUCGGGUUACCGAAUUCAGAUAAACUCCGAAUGCCAUGUACUUAUACUCGGGAGUCAGACUGCGAGUGAUAAGAUCCGUAGUCGAAAGGGAAACAGCCCAGACCACCAGUUAAGGUCCCCAAAUAUAUGUUAAGUGGAAAAGGAUGUGGGGUUGCUUAGACAACCAGGAUGUUGGCUUAGAAGCAGCCACCAUUGAAAGAGUGCGUAAUAGCUCACUGGUCGAGUGACCCCGCGCCGAAAAUGUACCGGGGCUAAACAUAUUACC
rnacentral:rRNA from 1 species